rnacentral:rRNA from 1 species
AUACGGAGGGUGCAUGCGUUACUCGGAAUCACUGGGCGUAAAGCGCGCGCAGGCGGCUAUUUAAGUUGGAUGUGAAAGCCUACGGCUCAACCGUAGAACUGCAUCCAAAACUAUUUAGCUAGAGUGUGGGAGAGGAAGAUGGAAUUAGUUGUGUAGGGGUAAAAUCCGUAGAGAUAACUAGGAAUACCAAAAGCGAAGGCAAUCUUCUGGAACACUACUGACGCUGAGGCGCGAAAGCGUGGGGAGCAAACGGGAUUAGAAACCCUUGUAGUCC